AGAAAGGUGUCAGGCACCUGUUUCUUAAAUAAUAUCUGGAAUUUAACUGUCAUCCCAGAAAGGAAAAGUUUGAUCAAGAUUGGUUUGGGGGAUGCAACACAUUCAAAGCAGAAACUGGCCUCUUAAUUACACUCUGAAAAUAAACAAAUACAAAACGAGCAAGUUAUUUCGUUUACUCAGGAACUCAGUGACAGUUCUUGAAGGACCUCGGAGGACAUACAAGAUGCUGCUGACAACAUCAAAAGAGCAAGCAGAAGCAUCUUCCGUUUCAUUAUUAUUAUUUUUUAAUGUGGACAGAACGGGAGAAGUAAUUUGCUUGGUUUUCCACUGCUACAGAAGAAAUCUCUCUCUCUCUCUCUCUUUUUAAAUCAUGCUUCUCUACGUGUUUUACUAUCUCAGAUUCUAAAAAGAGUCCCAAACCCAAAAGGGGGUAGGGGGUGGCAGGGAUGUGAGGAGGAACAGGUUAGUCUUUAUUUUUUGUUGAAUUAAAAUUGUAUCAUCUCCUUUUUAUUUUUUAUUGAAUUAAAUUAUAUUAUCUUUCAAGGAUAUAAAAACUUGUUUCCUCGCCCCAUCUCCUUUUUGGAGGGUAAUAAAGAGUUUUAUCUAACCCCAGAGCAAGGUUCUCGCGAUUUCCAGGACUGGCGCUGUGCAUCUCCUACUGUGUCCAACAGGGGGCGCUGGUCACGAACCUGCGCCGCGGCUCAGCGCCGCUUCACAUCUGAGCCGGGUUCCAGCCCCGGAAGGCGAGAGCCGCUCGCGGGGUCGAGUACAGAGCUUUAGUCUUCGUGGAUAAAAAGAGAUUAAAGGCUAAAUUCUUUUUUUGGGUGUGUGUGUUGGGGGGGGGAGGGUUAUCAAUUUUAACCAACUACGAAAAUGUAGAGCUUUUUAUCCUUUGAUGUUCUUAUAAAGAAACUCCUAUUGGUUGAGGAAUUACACGGUUUCUGAGCCAACACUGCAGCUACAGUGUGGGGGAAAUUAUUUAAUUAAAAAUAUAUUUUUCCAUCUGUUCACAUGAUCUUUUUAGAAGUACUUAAAAAGCUGACACUGAUCCCUUUGGCCUGUUAACCCUGCCCUAAGUUUCAAAUACUUUAGCUAUUUCGAAGGCCCUUCUAUUAAUUUGAAGGGGAAAAAUAAAAGAGACCCAAAUAUUUAAAUCCCCCCCUAAACAUUUACUGUUCUGCAUCCCCCCCCCUUUUUUCCCCUUAAACAGUGGCUUUUGUGUGAUUGACAUAUUUCACGACUGCCGAUUCUGCAAAGCCAGGUAUAAAUGACAAGAAGCGGCUCUAAAAAAAAAUCUGAUGUUGGACUACAUAACACCCAUGUAUAAGAUGAAAUCUAAAUAAUAUUGUAAUCCACCCACCCCCACCCUAACUUAAAAAAAAAAAAAACCUUCACCUGUAUUUAAAUAGCGUGUCUUUAAUUACAGCAGUUGGGGAUGCAUGAGGCUGAAAUGAAAUUAGCAGUCAUUACCAGUCCUUUAACUCUGUGGUGCUUUUGAUCAGCACUAAAUUAGCUUUCCAGUCCUAACAAAGACUCUACAGCAAGCAGUGGGCUGUAAAUAAGACAGCGCGACCUGCCCUCAACACCUUUUCUCUUGUCAAUCAUAGCUCUAUCAUUCAGCCCAAGAUUAACCUUUAUCUACCAAAUUUAAAAAAAAAAAAAAAGAACGAAAGAAAGAAGAAAAAGAGAAAAGAAAAAGGAGGCCGGAAGGAAAGGCCCCUGACCACCGCAUAUCGCAAUAACUGAGGUUCCUAGGAGGCCCCUUUAAAUUGUAUUCUAAUGUAAUGAGUUUGUGUCAGAAUCUGCAAUUUCCAAAUCAUGCCCCCCCCCCCCAGCCUCCAAGACCUCUUCAGUAUAUUAGAAGAGUCACAAUGCUGUUCAGGUAGGAAAGGAAUCCCUUUCUCCAUAUUACUAAUUGAGCAUGGGCCACCCUCCCUAAGUCAACUGGCCAGUAGCCUCUCCUCUAUUAGUCUAACAAAAUUUUGGGAGAGGAGGAGAUGUUUGAGGAGAAAACACUGAUAAUUUUAAGGCAUAUACAUAAGUUUCUGGGAUGAAAACAAUCAAUUUACUCCACUAAUAGUCUCUAGUUUCUAAGCCUGCGGAGAAAAACCACCAACAGCAACAACAAAAACCCAGCUGCUUUUCCCAGUACUGAAUUAAAAAAGUAAAACAUUGAUUCAUAUUGCCAUUAGAGGGCGCCAGAGAGCAAGCCCAUCACCUCUCGCACAACUUCCCACAGAAGCACUCCUAGCUUCCAGCUCCGCCAUGCUCUGUGAUUCCUUCUCUCAGAGUUUCUGGAUAGAGCUAUACAGACAGUCUAGUCUGUGGACAUUUCGGAAUUUGAAAGCUGCUGGCCUCAAGAGUGCUGCUGGGGUAUGUCCACUGGGCAUUCAUGCUAACAGUCCAGGUUCCUGAGCAGAAGUGAAAAUUAGGUUUGAUGACAAGGCUUGGAAAAGGGAGAAGAGCUGAGGAGAAAGACAGUAAGCACUCAAUAAAUGGUUGUUGGUAGUUACUAGGUGGUGAUGGCAUGGUUAACAAAUCUUUCUUAAGGCAUCAGGGAAAUA